rnacentral:tRNA from 1 species
GCCUGGGUGGCUCAGUUGGUUGGGCAUCUGACUUCGGCCCUGAUUAGGAUCUCACUGUUUGUGGGUUUGAGCCCCGCAUCAGGCU